CAGUAGCCGCGGUAAAACAGAGGGUGCGAGCGUUAAUCGGAUUUACUGGGCGUAAAGCGUGCGUAGGCGGCUAAUUGAGUCGGAUGUGAAAUCCCCGAGCUUAACUUGGGAAUUGCAUUCGAUACUGGUUAGCUAGAGUGUGGGAGAGGAUGGUAGAAUUCCAGGUGUAGCGGUGAAAUGCGUAGAGAUCUGGAGGAAUACCGAUGGCGAAGGCAGCCAUCUGGCCUAACACUGACGCUGAGGUACGAAAGCAUGGGGAGCAAACAGGAUUAGAUACCCCCGUAGUCCCUGUCUCUUAUAC
rnacentral:rRNA from 1 species